rnacentral:rRNA from 1 species
AUUGAACGCUGGCGGCAUGCCUAACACAUGCAAGUCGAACGGCAGCACAGCAGUAGCAAUACUGUGGGUGGCGAGUGGCGGACGGGUGAGGAAUACAUAGGAAUCUACCCUGUCGUGGGGGAUAACGUAGGGAAACUUACGCUAAUACCGCAUACGACCGAGAGGUGAAAGUGGGGGACCGCCAGGCCUCACGCGAUUGGAUGAGCCUAUGUCCGAUUAGCUAGUUGGCGGGGUCAGAGCCCACCAAGGCGACGAUCGGUAGCUGGUCUGAGAGGAUGAUCAGCCACACUGGAACUGAGACACGGUCCAGACUCCUACGGGAGGCAGCAGGGGGGAAUAUUGGACAAUGGGCGCAAGCCUGACCCAGCAAUGCCGCGUGGGUGAAGAAGGCCUUCGGGUUGUAAAGCCCUUUUGUACGGGAAGAAAAGCUGUCGAUUAAUACUCGAUGGUCGUGACGGUACCGUAAGAAUAAGCACCGGCUAACUUCGUGCCAGCCGCCGCCGUAACAC